rnacentral:rRNA from 1 species
GAUGAACGCUAGCGACAGGCUUAACACAUGCAAGUCGAGGGGCAUCACGGGUAGCAAUAUCUGGUGGCGACCGGCGAACGGGUGAGUAACACGUAUGCAACCUACCUAUAACCGGGACACAACCUCGAGAAAUUGAGGCUAAUAUCCCAUAACACUGCGAGAUGGCAUCAUUUUGCAGUUAAAACUCCGGUGGUUAUAGAUGGGCAUGCGCGACAUUAGCUAGUUGGUGAGGUAACGGCCCACCAAGGCUACGAUGUCUAGGGGUUCUGAGAGGAUUAUCCCCCACACUGGUACUGAGACACGGACCAGACUCCUACGGGAGGCAGCAGUAGGGAAUAUUGCGCAAUGGGCGAAAGCCUGACGCAGCGACGCCGCGUGGGUGAUGAAGGCCUUCGGUUGUAAACCUAGUCCUUGGGAAGAAGGAAGUGACGGUACCAACGGAGGAAGCCCGGCUAACUACGUG